CUGGCAAGUAGGAGAUAGCAUUAGCCUUCAGUCUUUGCAGCCUUUUUUUUUUGGCUUCAUUACAUUUCACUUUAUUGAAAAUAUGUUGUCUGAAUCAAGAUGUGCUGUAAAGAUGAGCAACCUGGGACUCAGCAAUUGACCUGAGGAGAGUUGAGCCGGUUCUCCCGUGGCAGGCCAGGAACCCACCUCAGACCUUUCUCACAGUUGAUGAUGCGCCUGAAUGCUUCAGUGCCUAAUGGUAAGGCUCCUGAAAUCAUUCCCCGUAAGGAAGAAUCAGAGCUCAGCUCCUUGGAGGAAUGGAUGAGAAUGUAUUCAAGAGGAGCCUCGGGCAGUUUGUACCAGAAUUCAAGGAAGCUAUCAAAGACUAAUGGGCCUUAUCAAAAGGACGUAAGAACCAACAAAGAGGCUCCUGUUGGCCUGAGAAGGAAAAUUUUUGUAAAAUGUGAUUAUAAACUACAGAGAAAAGCUAGUAAUUAUAUAUUUGUAAUGACACAUACAGAGAGAAA